UAACAUCUAGCGAGACUCAUAGAAAAAAACACACAGGGAGCAAAAUAAAUGGCUACGGGAGCAGCGGGAGGAGGAAUUUAUCGGAGCCUGUAUAAUGACGGCUGCAUCACCGGACACGACGGAGGGAUCCAAAGACGGCCUUACCAUCGUAACUGCAGCUGCGCGUUACAUAAUACGCGCGGAUACUGUGGCCAUGCAUCACAAAACACUAAAGUAUCGUACCCGAUGAGACGGAACUCGAGUGAGGGUUGUCUAUCGUUGAUGGCCUCCGAAUAUGCCUCGUGGUGUGUAGCAACAGCAGUGACUCUGAAAGGAAAAAAUUUAAAUUGCGAUUUGCAUUGUCUGUUUGACGAUUAAAGAAGAUACUAAUAGUAAUUUAUUAGAUUUUGCCAUAUUUUAGACUUGAUGUCCUGUGUGAACUGUGAAUAAGGGCAGCUGGUUAAUUGGAUUGUCCUUUCAGUAAAGAAGUGCAACUAUGGACUAUAGAUAGAAUGUGUAUAAGUGUUUCUAAGAUAUAACUAGACUCCGGCGAGACUGAAAAUCAAUUUGAGGUGGUAUAUUUACUUUUUGUUGUAUCACUUCUGGCAAAAUGUAUUUUAGCUUGUAUGCAUGCAAAAGUUUAGAAUAUAAUUUCUUAUUAAAGGGUGUAUUUUGAAAUUUUAAUGAAUUUUAUUAUAUUUUGAUUUUACACAGAUAAUAAAAUGUCG
rnacentral:lncRNA from 1 species